rnacentral:rRNA from 1 species
AUUGAACGCUGGCGGCAGGCCUAACACAUGCAAGUCGAGCGGAGCGGCGGACGGGUGAGUAAUUCCUAGGUAUCUGCCUGGUCGUGGGGGAUAACGUCCGGUCACGGGCCCUAAUACCGCAUACUAUCAGAUGAGCCUAGGUCGGAUUAGCUAGUUGGUGGGGUAAAGGCCUACCAAGGCGACGAUCCGUAACUGGUCUGAGUGGAUGAUCAGUCACACUGUGACUGAGACACGGUCCAGACUCCUACGGGAGGCAGCAGUGGGGAAUAUUGGACAAUGGGCGAAAGCCUGAUGCAGCCAUGCCGCGUGUGUGAAGAAGGUCUUCGGAUUGUAAAGCACUUUAAGUAGAGAGGCGUUACCAACAGAAUAAGCACCGGCUAACUACGUGCCAGCAGCCGCGGUAAUAC